rnacentral:rRNA from 1 species
AGUGAACGCUGGCGGUAGGCCUAACACAUGCAAGUCGAACGGCAGCACAGUAAGAGCUUGCUCUUACGGGUGGCGAGUGGCGGACGGGUGAGGAAUACAUCGGAAUCUACUUUUUCGUGGGGGAUAACGUAGGGAAACUUACGCUAAUACCGCAUACGCCCUACGGGUGAAAGCAGGGGAUCUUCUGACCUUGCGCGAUUGAAUGAGCCGAUGUCGGAUUAGCUAGUUGGCGGGGUAAAGGCCCACCAAGGCGACGAUCCGUAGCUGGUCUGAGAGGAUGAUCAGCCACACUGGAACUGAGACACGGUCCAGACUCCUACGGGAGGCAGCAGUGGGGAAUAUUGGACAAUGGGCGCAAGCCUGAUCCAGCCAUACCGCGUGGGUGAAGAAGGCCCUCGGGUUGUAAAGCCCUUUUGUUGGGAAAGAAAAGCAGCAGGUUAAUACCCCGCUGUUCUGACGGUACCCAAAGAAUAAGCACCGGCUAACUUCGUG